rnacentral:rRNA from 1 species
GAUGAACGCUGGCGGCGUGCCUAAUACAUGCAAGUCGAGCGAACAGAUAAGGAGCUUGCUCCUUUGACGUUAGCGGCGGACGGGUGAGUAACACGUGGGUAACCUACCUAUAAGACUGGGAUAACUUCGGGAAACCGGAGCUAAUACCGGAUAACAUUUGGAACCGCAUGGUUCUAAAGUGAAGGAUGGUUUUGCUAUCACUUAUAGAUGGACCCGCUCCGUAUUAGCUAGUUGGUAAGGUAACGGCUUACCAAGGCGACGAUACGUAGCCGACCUGAGAGGGUGAUCGGCCACACUGGAACUGAGACACGGUCCAGACUCCUACGGGAGGCAGCAGUAGGGAAUCUUCCGCAAUGGGCGAAAGCCUGACGGAGCAACGCCGCGUGAGUGAUGAAGGGUUUCGGCUCGUAAAACUCUGUUAUUAGGGAAGAACAAACGUGUAAGUAACUGUGCACGUCUUGACGGUACCUAAUCAGAAAGCCACGGCUAACUACGU